rnacentral:rRNA from 1 species
UACGUAGGGUGCGAGCGUUAAUCGGAAUUACUGGGCGUAAAGGGCGCGUAGGCGGCACUGUUAGUCAGGCGUGAAAGUCCUGGGCUCAACCUGGGAACUGCGCUUGAUACGGCAGAGCUAGAGGAUGGAAGAGGGUCGCGGAAUUCCCAGUGUAGAGGUGAAAUUCGUAGAUAUUGGGAAGAACACCGGUGGCGAAGGCGGCGACCUGGUCCAUUACUGACGCUGAGGCGCGACAGCGUGGGGAGCAACAGG